rnacentral:rRNA from 1 species
GACGAACGCUGGCGGCGGGCUUAACACAUGCAAGUCGAACGAAGUGGCGAACGGGUGAGUAAUACGUGUGUAACCUGCCCUCCUGUUUGGGAUAAGCCUUGGGAACGGGGUCUAAUACCGAAUAGAGGGUGAGGGGGGCGUGGCCUAUCGGCUUGUUGGUGGGGUGAUGGCCCACCGAGGCGGUGACGGGUAGGCGGCCUGAGAGGGUGAACGGGCACAUAGGCACGGGGCUACGGCCCAGGCGACGCAGGGGGGCAGAAGUGGGCAAUAUGGCACAAAGGGUGAUGGAGUGAUGCAGCGUGGCCGAGGGGGGGAUGAGGGUUGUCGGGUUGUUACCCUCGUGCGCUAUGGAAUGGUUAGCUGCAGAAGAAGCGCCGGCUAACUACGUGCCAGCAGCCGCGGUAAUUC